GAUGAACGCUGGCGGCGUGCCUAAUACAUGCAAGUCGAGCGAACAGAUGAGGAGCUUGCUCCUCUGACGUUAGCGGCGGACGGGUGAGUAACACGUGGAUAACCUACCUAUAAGACUGGGAUAACUUCGGGAAACCGGAGCUAAUACCGGAUAAUAUAUUGAACCGCAUGGUUCAAUAGUGAAAGACGGUUUUGCUGUCACUUAUAGAUGGAUCCGCGCCGCAUUAGCUAGUUGGUAAGGUAACGGCUUACCAAGGCAACGAUGCGUAGCCGACCUGAGAGGGUGACCGGCCACACUGGAACUUAGACACGGUCCAGACUCCUACGGGAGGCAGCAGUAGGGAAUCUUCCGCAAUGGGCGAAAGCCUGACGGAGCAACGCCGCGUGAGUUAUGAAGGUCUUCGGAUCGUAAAACUCUGUUAUUAGGGAAGAACAAACGUGUAAGUAACUAUGCACGUCUUGACGGUACCUAAUCAGAAAGCCACGGCUAACUACGUG
rnacentral:rRNA from 1 species